GAUAGGUAACUGUUCUUCUGGCAUUUAAAUAUGUCUAAAGUGUGUCUAAUUGAACAUGUUUGUGGCAUGUUCGGGUACAGAGUAUCGUUCGCGUGUGAUAAAUUUUUUACUCUAAAUUUGUGUUCGACUUCUGAAUUGUUUCAAAAGGGACCGUUCGAGUUACGAGGUUCCACUGUAUACUUAGCAGCACUGCACAGUGUUCAAAAU